UACGGGGGGGGCAAGCGUUGUUCGGAAUUACUGGGCGUAAAGGGCGCGUAGGCGGCUUUCUAAGUCAGACGUGAAAUCCCCAGGCUUAACUUGGGAACUGCGUCUGAUACUGGGAGGCUUGAGUGCGGGAGAGGGAUGUGGAAUUCCAGGUGUAGCGGUGAAAUGCGUAGAUAUCUGGAGGAACACCGGUGGCGAAGGCGGCAUCCUGGACCGACACUGACGCUGAGGCGCGAAAGCUAGGGGAGCAAACGGG
rnacentral:rRNA from 1 species